GUAGUCCACGCCCUAAACGAUGUCAACUAGGUGUCGGGAGCGCAAGUUCUUGGUACCGCAGCUAACGCGUGAAGUUGACCGCCUGGGGAGUACGGUCGCAAGAUUAAAACUCAAAGGAAUUGACGGGGACCCGCACAAGCGGUGGAUGAUGUGGAUUAAUUCGAUGCAACGCGAACAACCUUACCUACCCUUGACAUGUCCGGAAGCCCGGUGAAAGCUGGGGGUGCUCGCAAGAGAACCGGAACACAGGUGCUGCAUGGCUGUCGUCAGCUCGUGUCGUGAGAUGUUGGGUUAAGUCCCGCAACGAGCGCAACCCUUGUCCUUAGUUGCUACGCAAGGGCACUCUAAGGAGACUGCCGGUGACAAACCGGA
rnacentral:rRNA from 1 species